GUGAGGAAUAUUGGACAAUGGGCGCAAGCCUGAUCCAGCCAUGCCGCGUGCAGGAAGACGCAUCUAUGGUGUGUAAACUGCUUUUGUACGGGAAGAAACACUCCCUCGUGAGGGAGCUUGACGGUACCGUAAGAAUAAGGAUCGGCUAACUCCGUGCCAGCAGCCGCGGUAAUACGGAGGAUACAAGCGUUAUCCGGAAUCAUUGGGUUUAAAGGGUCCGUAGGCGGUUUAAUAAGUCAGUGGUGAAAGCCCAUCGCUCAACGAUGGAACGGCCAUUGAUACUGUUAGACUUGAAUUACAAGGAAGUAACUAGAAUAUGUAGUGUAGCGGUGAAAUGCUUAGAUAUUACAUGGAAUACCAAUUGCGAAGGCAGGUUACUACUUGUGGAUUGACGCUGAUGGACGAAAGCGUGGGGAGCGAACAGGAUUAGAAACCCGGGUAGUCC
rnacentral:rRNA from 1 species